rnacentral:rRNA from 1 species
AGGAAGCCUCCGGGCGGAAUGCGUGGGGACUGAGUGGCGGACGGGUGAGUAACGCGUGGGCAACCUGCCCCAUACAGGGGGAUAACGGUUAGAAAUGGCCGCUAAUACCGCAUAAGCGCACAGCAGCGCAUGCUGCAGUGUGAAAAGCCCUGGCAGUAUGGGAUGGGCCCGCGUCCGAUUAGCUGGUUGGUGGGGUAACGGCCCACCAAGGCGACGAUCGGUAGCCGACCUGAGAGGGUGACCGGCCACAUUGGGACUGAGACACGGCCCAAACUCCUACGGGAGGCAGCAGUGGGGGAUAUUGCACAAUGGGGGGAACCCUGAUGCAGCAACGCCGCGUGGGUGAAGGAGUACCCCGGUACGUAAAGCCCUAUCGGCAGGGAAGAAGAUGACGGUACCUGACUAAGAAGCCCCGGCUAACUACGUGCCAGCAGCCGCGGUAAUACGUAGGGGGCAAGCGUUAUCCGGAUUUACUGGGUGUAAAGGGAGCGCAGACGGCAGUGCAAGUCUGGAGUGAAAGCCCGGGGCUCAACCCCGGGACUGCUUUGGAAACUGCAUAGCUGGAGUGCUGGAGAGGCAAGCGGAAUUCCUAGUGUAGCGGUGAAAUGCGUAGAUAUUAGGAAGAACACCAGUGGCGAAGGCGGCUUGCUGGACAGUAACUGACGUUGAGGCUCGAAAGCGUGGGGAGCAAACAGGAUUAGAUACCCUGGUA